GAGAGAGAGAGAGAGAGAGAGAGAGAGAGAUUCAGUAGCCAGCUGUCUUCACUCCACAGAUGGGAAUGUUGCUGGUGAAAACCGCCUUUUGCAAAAGGAUUCACUGCUCUCCAGAGAACCCUUGAAGUAUGCAUCAUUGUUUCAAUGAAGUAUCUUCAUUAUAAAACAUGGGGACUAUAAAAGACUUUAACACUUCUGUGACUUUGCGGACAUUGUUGAAUGCACCUCAGUCUCAGCUUUCUGUCCACAAAACGGGGUUUACAAAUACUACACGUCUAAAGAAAGAGUGUUGAAGAUUAAAUAAAUAUGCAGAACAUGAGUAUGGUCUGAAGAUUGAUCUCAGGACACCAAACUCAACAACAUGGGCCUUUACCCAAGAGACAGCAUGUUGUCUCAAUUUUUAAAGUAUUUUCAGUGAUAUAAAUAAUACAUCAUAAAGGAAAGUUUUACAUGAAUAUAAAAGGUUACUCAAGACUAAAAACUCCAAAACAUAUAACUGUUUUUGCUUAAAACUGCCUGAACUUUCCUCCUCACUAAUGUGUGCAUAGUUGUAAUUAUUAUAUGACUGAUUCACUUUUUGUCUUACUUCAUUUUCAUCUUGCUGAUACACACACACACAUACACACACACACACACACACACACACACAUAACUGGUGUUUCAAGCGAUUCUUUCUUUUCAGUUUUUGUUCCCCAUAACUGUAUGUAAUAGUUCUAAAAAUAAUUAAUUGACUGACUUAAAAAAUACAAAAAAAGGAAAUUUAAAUCUCUUUAAGUUCUACAAUGGAGACAUCUUGAACAAAGGGUAGAAUUUUACUGAAUGUCUAUAAUAGCUUUGGGCUUGCUAUAAUAUAUACAUAUAUUAUAUAAAUAUAUAACAUUAUAUUAUAUAUAUUACACAUUAGAGUACUACGAAGCUGUAAAAUUAUGACCGCAUGAAAUUUGCAGACAAAUGUAUGGAACUAGAAAAAAAUCACCUUGAGUAAGGUGAUUCAGACUCAGAAUGACAAACACAGUAUGUAUUUACUCAUAAGUAAAUGUUAGAUGUAAAGAGAAGGAUAACCAGACUAUAAUCCAGACAAGAUAGAUAACAAGGAGGACCCUAAGAGGGACACAUGGAUCGCUCUGGGAAGAGAAAUUAGAUUAGACCUCUUGGGUAAACUGAGGACAGGAUGCAGUAAGGGAGAGUGGAGGGGGAAAGAAAACAUGCACAUAAGGGAACAGGAUGGUCAAGGGAUGAAGUGGAAGGCGCAAUAAAGAGAUAUCUGAAUAAAGAAGGUGCUAGUCUAAUUCCAAAGAAUCCACAAGGAUGAUCACAGUUAAGACUCCUAGCAACAGUGGAGAAGAUGCCAGAACAGUUCUACACCUAUAAUCAGGUGGGCGAACACCCCAACUAUUAUUAUAGAGCCUUCAUCAAGUAAUCUAUGGAAACAGAUGCAGAAAUCAACAACCAAGAACCAGGCCGAGUUACAGGAAUCCAGUCAAAGAGAGGAAGGAGGAAAUAUAUCAGCAUGUGAGGUCAAAAUGAACCUGGAGAAAUCUACAGACAACUGAACCAGCUGGAGGAAACUGAUGAACUCUAGACCUACAGCUGUGGAGACUCCAGGGAACCAAACUAGUUAGUCUCUCUGUAUAUGGGAGACCUUGUGAAGCUUGGGCUAUCUGAGAGGCCCCUGGCAGUAGGACCACAAUACAAACCUGAUACAUAAGCUAUCUUGUUUGAGGCAGUUUCCUGUGGUGGAACACCAUUCUCAGCCUUAAUGUAUGGGAGAGUACCUUGGCCAUGCCCCAACCUAUUUUGCCAGAUUUUUUUUGACUCCUCAUGAGAACCCUUAUCUAAGAGGAGGAGUGGAUGGGGGGGGCAACUGUGGGGAAAAUGGGAAGACAGAAGAAUGGAUGGGAGGGACAACUGUGGUUGGAAUGCAAAAGAAUAAAUUAUAUAAAAAAUGUUCCCUUCAAAAAUCCCAUUAAUGCUAAU